AUGAAUCACGCGCCACAGCCCUUUAUAAAUACUCUUCCAAAUUCUUCACCCUUUUCACUUUCCCCUUCAAUUCCAAUUCCUCCAAAACAGAACGGAAAAGCGUUCCGUUUUGAUUCUGAUCGCGAUUGCUGCUUCCAUGGUUGUUUUACCGUUGAUGCUUCCGCCGCUUCCUCCGCCGCCGCUGGUUCUUCUUUUCUUUCCCGUAGGGAUUAUGGCUGCGCUUGUAGUGCUCGCUUUCUCGCCGUCGGAAAACGUUAA